rnacentral:rRNA from 1 species
CCUACGGGUGGCUGCAGUGAGGGAUAUUGCACAAUGGGGGAAACCCUGAUGCAGCGACGCCGCGUGGGCGAUGAAGGUCUUCGGAUCGUAAAGCCCUUUUUGAGGUGACGAGAACGGACGGUAGCCUCAGAAUAAGUCUCGGCUAACUACGUGCCAGCAGCCGCGGUAAAACGUAGGAGGCAAGCGUUAUCCGGAGUUACUGGGCGUAAAGCGCAUGUAGGCGGUUGGACAAGUUGGUUGUGAAAGCGCCCGGCUAAACUGGGCGAGGCCGAUCA